rnacentral:rRNA from 1 species
GCAAGCGUUGUUCGGAAUUACUGGGCGUAAAGGGCUCGUAGGUGGCCAACUAAGUCGGACGUGAAAUCCCUCGGCUUAACCGGGGAACUGCAUCCGAUACUGGAUGGCUUGAGUUCGGGAGAGGGAUGCGGAAUUCCAGGUGUAGCGGUGAAAUGCGUAGAUAUCUGGAGGAACACCGGUGGCGAAGGCGGCAUCCUGGACCGACACUGACGCUGAGGAGCGAAAGCCAGGGGAGCAAACGGG